rnacentral:tRNA from 1 species
UCCCUGGUGGCUCAGAUGGUAAAGAACCUGCCUGCAAUGCAGGGGGAACCCAGGUUCAAUCCUUGGGUGGGGAG